rnacentral:rRNA from 1 species
AGUCAAGUAAUUAAGUGCAUGUGGUGGAUGCCUUGGCAGUCAGAGGCGAUGAAAGACGUGAUAGCCUGCGAAAAGCUCCGGGGAGGCGGCAAAUAUCCUUUGAUCCGGAGAUGUCUGAAUGGGGGAACCCACCUACUUUAAGGUAGGUAUUGCAACAUGAAUACAUAGUGUUGCAAGGCGAACGAGGGGAAGUGAAACAUCUCAGUACCCUUAGGAAAAGAAAUCAAUUGAGAUUCCCUCAGUAGCGGCGAGCGAACGGGGAUCAGCCCAUUAAGUUAUGUGUGUUUUAGUGGAACGCUCUGGGAAGUGCGAACGUAGAGGGUGAUAUUCCCGUACACGAAAGGGCACACAUAAUGAUGACGAGUAGGGCGAGGCACGUGAAACCUUGUCUGAAUAUGGGGGGACCAUCCUCCAAGGCUAAAUACUCCUGACUGACCGAUAGUGAACCAGUACCGUGAGGGAAAGGCGAAAAGAACCCCUGUGAGGGGAGUGAAAUAGAUCCUGAAACCGCAUGCAUACAAGCAGUGGGAGCACCUUCGUGGUGUGACUGCGUACCUUUUGUAUAAUGGGUCAGCGACUUAUAUUCAGUAGCGAGGUUAACCGUAUAGGGGAGCCGUAGAGAAAUCGAGUCUUAAUAGGGCGUUUAGUUGCUGGGUAUAGACCCGAAACCAGGCGAUCUAUCCAUGAGCAGGUUGAAGGUUGGGUAACACUAACUGGAGGACCGAACCCACUGUCGUUGAAAAGCCAGGGGAUGACUUGUGGAUAGGGGUGAAAGGCUAAUCAAGCCUGGUGAUAGCUGGUUCUCCCCGAAAGCUAUUUAGGUAGCGCCUCGGACGAAUACCAUAGGGGGUAGAGCACUGUUUCGGCUAGGGGGUCAUCCCGACUUACCAAACCGAUGCAAACUCCGAAUACCUAUGAGUACUAUCCGGGAGACAGACUGCGGGUGCUAACGUCCGUAGUCAAGAGGAAAACAAUCCAGACCGCCAGCUAAGGCCCCAAAAUCAUAGUUAAGUGGGAAACGAUGUGGGAAGGCAUAGACAGCUAGGAGGUUGGCUUAGAAGCAGCCACCCUUUAAAGAAAGCGUAAUAGCUCACUAGUCGAGUCGGCCUGCGCGGAAGAUGUAACGGGGCUAAAACUAUGUGCCGAAGCUGCGGAUNNGUGCGAAUGCUGACGUGAGUAACGACAAAACGGGUGAAAAACCCGUUCGCCGAAAGACCAAGGGUUCCAGUCCAACGUUAAUCGGGGCUGGGUGAGUCGACCCCUAAGGCGAGGCCGAAAGGCGUAGUCGAUGGGAAAAUGGUUAAUAUUCCAUUACUUCUGUGUAAUGCGAUGAGAGGACGGAGAAGGCUAAAUCAGCCUGGCGUUGGUUGUCCAGGUGAAAGGAUGUAGGCAUGUAUCUUAGGCAAAUCCGGGGUACUCUAUGCUGAGAUCUGAUAGCAAGCUGUACUUGUACAGCGAAGUGGUUGAUGCCAUGCUUCCAGGAAAAGUCUCUAAGCUUCAGUUACACAGGAAUCGUACCCGAAACCGACACAGGUGGUCAGGUCGAGUAGACCAAGGCGCUUGAGAGAACUCUGCUGAAGGAACUAGGCAAAAUGGUACCGUAACUUCGGGAGAAGGUACGCUGUUGUUGGUGAUGGAACUCGCUUCCUGAGCUGACGACAGCCGCAGAAACCAGGCCGCUGCAACUGUUUAUUAAAAACAUAGCACUCUGCAAACACGAAAGUGGACGUAUAGGGUGUGAUGCCUGCCCGGUGCUGGAAGGUUAAUUGAUGGGGUUAGCGUAAGCGAAGCUCUUGAUCGAAGCCCCAGUAAACGGCGGCCGUAACUAUAACGGUCCUAAGGUAGCGAAAUUCCUUGUCGGGUAAGUUCCGACCUGCACGAAUGGCAUAAUGAUGGCGGCGCUGUCUCCAGCAGAGGCUCAGUGAAAUCGAAAUCGCUGUGAAGAUGCAGUGUACCCGCGGCUAGACGGAAAGACCCCGUGAACCUUUACUGCAGCUUGACACUGAACUUUGACCUUACUUGUGUAGGAUAGGUGGGAGGCUUUGAAGCUGGAACGCUAGUUCCAGUGGAGCCGUCCUUGAAAUACCACCCUGGUAAUGUUGAGGUUCUAACUCUGUCCCGUGAUCCGGGACGAGGACCGUGUCUGGUGGGUAGUUUGACUGGGGCGGUCUCCUCCUAAAGAGUAACGGAGGAGUACGAAGGUGCGCUCAGCGUGGUCGGAAAUCACGCGUAGAGUAUAAAGGCAAAAGCGCGCUUAACUGCGAGACCCACAAGUCGAGCAGGUACGAAAGUAGGUCUUAGUGAUCCGGUGGUUCUGUAUGGAAGGGCCAUCGCUCAACGGAUAAAAGGUACUCUGGGGAUAACAGGCUGAUACCGCCCAAGAGUUCAUAUCGACGGCGGUGUUUGGCACCUCGAUGUCGGCUCAUCUCAUCCUGGGGCUGAAGCAGGUCCCAAGGGUAUGGCUGUUCGCCAUUUAAAGAGGUACGCGAGCUGGGUUUAGAACGUCGUGAGACAGUUCGGUCCCUAUCUACCGUGGGCGCUGGAAAUUUGAGAGGAUCUGCUCCUAGUACGAGAGGACCAGAGUGGACGAACCUCUGGUGUACCGGUUGUGACGCCAGUCGCAUCGCCGGGUAGCUAUGUUCGGAAGGGAUAACCGCUGAAAGCAUCUAAGCGGGAAGCCUACCUCAAGAUAAGAUUUCCCUAGGACUUUAUGUCCUCUAAAGAGCCGUUCGAGACUAGGACGUUGAUAGGUUGGAUGUGGAAGCAUAGUGAUAUGUGAAGCUGACCAAUACUAAUUGCUCGUGAGGCUUGACUAU